rnacentral:rRNA from 1 species
UUGAACGCUGGCGGCAGGCCUAACACAUGCCAGUCGAACGGUAACAGGAAGCAGCUUGCUGCUUUGCUGACGAGUGGCGGACGGGUGAGUAAUGUCUGGGAAACUGCCUGAUGGAGGGGGAUAACUACUGGAAACGGUAGCUAAUACCGCAUAACGUCGCAAGACCAAAGAGGGGGACCUUCGGGCCUCUUGCCAUCGGAUGUGCCCAGAUGGGAUUAGCUAGUAGGUGGGGUAACGGCUCACCUAGGCGACGAUCCCUAGCUGGUCUGAGAGGAUGACCAGCCACACUGGAACUGAGACACGGUCCAGACUCCUACGGGAGGCAGCAGUGGGGAAUAUUGCACAAUGGGCGCAAGCCUGAUGCAGCCAUGCCGCGUGUAUGAAGAAGGCCUUCGGGUUGUAAAGUACUUUCAGCGGGGAGGAAGGGAGUAAAGUUAAUACCUUUGCUCAUUGACGUUACCCGCAGAAGAAGCACCGGCUAACUCCGUG